rnacentral:rRNA from 1 species
UACAGAGGUCCCAAGCGUUGUUCGGAUUCAUUGGGCGUAAAGGGUGCGUAGGUGGCGCCGUAAGUCGGGUGUGAAAUUUCGGAGUUUAACUCCGAAACUGCAUUCGAUACUGGCGGUGCUUGAGGACUGGAGAGGAGACUGGAAUUCAUGGUGUAGCAGUGAAAUGCGUAGAGAUCAUGAGGAAGACCAGUGGCGAAGGCGGGGUCUCUGGACAGUUCCUGACACUGAGGCACGAAGGCCAGGGGAGCAAACGGG